ACACGACUACAUUAGACUACCCGGUAGUCCUAGCCGUAAACGAUACUCGCUAGGUGUCGGCCACGGUGCGACCGUUGUCGGUGCCGUAGGGAAGCCGUGGAGCGAGCCACCUGGGAAGUACGGCCGCAAGGCUGAAACUUAAAGGAAUUGGCGGGGAGCACAACAACGGGUGGAGCUUGCGGUUUAAUUGGAUUCAACGCCGGAAAUCUUACCGGGACCGACAGCAACAUGAAGGCCAAGCUGAAGACUUUGCCGGAUUAGCUG
rnacentral:rRNA from 1 species